UUAAAUUGAAGAGUUUGAUCAUGGCUCAGAUUGAACGCUGGCGGCAGGCCUAACACAUGCAAGUCGAACGGUAACAGGAAGCAGCUUGCUGCUUUGCUGACGAGUGGCGGACGGGUGAGUAAUGUCUGGGAAACUGCCCGAUGGAGGGGGAUAACUAC
rnacentral:rRNA from 2 species